UACCAGCACCCCGAGUGGUCGGGACGAUUAUUGGGCCUAAAGCAUCCGUAGCUGGUUCUACAAGUCUUCCGUUAAAUCCACCUGCUCAACAGAUGGGCUGCGGAGGAUACUAUAGAGCUAGGAGGCGGGAGAGGCAAGCGGUACUUAGUGGGUAGGGGUAAAAUCCGUUGAUCCAUUGAAGACCACCAGUGGCGAAGGCGGCUUGCCAGAACGCACUCGACGGUGAGGGAUGAAAGCUGGGGGAGCAAACCGG
rnacentral:rRNA from 1 species